UUGGAGAGUUUGAUCCUGGCUCAGGACGAACGCUGGCGGCGUGCUUAACACAUGCAAGUCGAACGGUGAAGGGACUGGUUUUGCUGGUUCUGGAUGAGUGGCGAACGGGUGAGUAACACGUGAGUAACCUGCCCCCUUCUUCUGGAUAACCGCAUGAAAGUGUGGCUAAUACGGGAUAUUCUGGGUCUGUCGCAUGGUGGGCCUGGGAAAGGUUUUUUCCGGUGGGGGAUGGGCUCGCGGC
rnacentral:rRNA from 1 species